rnacentral:rRNA from 2 species
UACGUAGGUCCCGAGCGUUGUCCGGAUUUAUUGGGCGUAAAGCGAGCGCAGGUGGUUUAUUAAGUCUGGUGUAAAAGGCAGUGGCUCAACCAUUGUAUGCAUUGGAAACUGGUAGACUUGAGUGCAGGAGAGGAGAGUGGAAUUCCAUGUGUAGCGGUGAAAUGCGUAGAUAUAUGGAGGAACACCGGUGGCGAAAGCGGCUCUCUGGCCUGUAACUGACUCUGAGGCUCGAAAGCGUGGGGAGCAAACAGG